rnacentral:rRNA from 1 species
CGGGACGGGUGAGUAAUGUCUGGGAAACUGCCUGAUGGAGGGGGGUAACUACUGGAAACGGUAGCUAAUACCGCAUAACGUCGCAAGACCAAAGAGGGGGACCUUCGGGCCUCUUGCCAUCGGAUGUGCCCAGAUGGGAUUAGCUAGUAGGUGGGGUAACGGCUCACCUAGGCGACGAUCCCUAGCUGGUCUGAGAGGAUGACCAGCCACACUGGAACUGAGAUACGGUCCAG